rnacentral:rRNA from 1 species
GAACGCUGGCGGCAGGCUUAACACAUGCAAGUCGAACGGUAGCAGGUAAGUACUUGUACUUAUGCUGACGAGUGGCGGACGGGUGAGUAAUGCUUGGGGAUCUGGCUUAUGGAGGGGGAUAACGACGGGAAACUGUCGCUAAUACCGCGUAGAAUCGAGAGAUGAAAGUGUGGGACCUUCGGGCCACAUGCCAUAGGAUGAACCCAAGUGGGAUUAGGUAGUUGGUGGGGUAAUGGCCUACCAAGCCGACGAUCUCUAGCUGGUCUGAGAGGAUGACCAGCCACACCGGGACUGAGACACGGCCCGGACUCCUACGGGAGGCAGCAGUGGGGAAUAUUGCGCAAUGGGGGCAACCCUGACGCAGCCAUGCCGCGUGAAUGAAGAAGGCCUUCGGGUUGUAAAGUUCUUUCGGUGACGAGGAAGGUUGUUGUGUUAAUAGCGCAACAAAUUGACGUUAAUCACAGAAGAAGCACCG